GCGUUGGUGGUUUAGUGGUAAAAUUCAUCGUUGCCAUUCCCGGCCGUGCCUCCUGAGUCACAGCCUCCUGGAAAAACUUCGAUGAGCCCCGGGUUCGAUUCCCGGCCGACGCA